rnacentral:sRNA from 1 species
GUGAUCUGCAACUCUUUCACCAUCUGUAAUGCAGAGAUGCAGGAAGUUGGUGUUGGCCUAUAUCCUAGUAUCUCUUUGCUCAAUCACAGCUGUGACCCCAACUGUUCGAUUGUGUUUAAUGGGCCCCACCUCUUACUGCGAGCAGUCCGAGACAUCGAGGUGGGAGAGGAGCUCACUAUCUGCUACCUGGAUAUGCUGAUGACCAGUGAGGAGCGCCGGAAGCAGCUGAGGGACCAGUACUGCUUUGAAUGUGACUGUUUCCGUUGCCAAACCCAGGACAAGGAUGCUGAUAUGCUAACUGGUGAUGAGCAAGUAUGGAAGGAAGUUCAAGAAUCCCUGAAAAAAAUUGAAGAACUGAAGGCACACUGGAAGUGGGAGCAGGUUCUGGCCAUGUGCCAGGCGAUCAUAAGCAGCAAUUCUGAACGGCUUCCCGAUAUCAACAUCUACCAGCUGAAGGUGCUCGACUGCGCCAUGGAUGCCUGCAUCAACCUCGGCCUGUUGGAGGAAGCCUUGUUCUAUGGUACUCGGACCAUGGAGCCAUACAGUUAAAUAAGACCAGGAAAAAAUCUUCUUUUAAAAAACUGAGCUCGAUCUGUCCUGAUUCCUGGUGCUGCUUCAGGAUUUUUUUCCCAGGAAGCCAUCCCGUCAGAGGCGUUCAAGUGAUGAAAGUUGGCAAACUGCAGCUACAUCAAGGCAUGUUUCCCCAAGCAAUGAAGAAUCUGAGACUGGCUUUUGAUAUUAUGAGAGUGACACAUGGCAGAGAACACAGCCUGAUUGAAGAUUUGAUUCUACUUUUAGAAGAAUGCGACGCCAACAUCAGAGCAUCCUAAGGGAACGCAGUCAGAGGGAAAGAUGGCGUGUGUCUUUGUUGAAUGCCUUAUUGAGGUCACACACUCUAUACUUUGUUAGCUGUGUGAACCUCUCCUAUUGGAAAUUCUGUUCUGUGUUUGUGUAGGUAAAUAAAGGCAGACAUGGUUUGCAAACCACAAGAAUCAUUAGUUGUAGAGAAGCACAAUUAUAAUAAAUUCAAAACAUUUGGUUG